GGUUUCUGCGCGGGGCCGGCGGUGGUGUGGAAAGCCGAGCUUGGCCUGUGCAGAGACGGUGCUUCCGGAGCCCAGCGGAGACCCGUGGCAGCUCAGGUGGACCGGGCCGGGUCGGGCCGUAGGGCUGUGAGUGGACUCUACCGAUGGCACUUGAAUGUGGGAGGCCGCGGUGAACCGGGAGGAGUGUUGGGAGGGGAGGCUUGUACGGCGGAAGGGGCUUGUAGCAGCCUGGCACCCGGCUCUACCCUGCACACAGUAGGUCCGCCACUGCAUCAGAUUGCAGGGUUUUAUUUGAACCAGGGCCUCGCCACUGCUGAGCUUCAUCCUCAGCUUCUUUGUGAGGACUCACUCGUGCCAAAUGUCCUAAACUACCCUCCAACUCAUCAAGCCCCUCCUGAGUAGCUCAGAUUACAGAAACGAGUAACCAGGCCUGGGGCUUUUAAGUUUUGUUGUUUUGUUUUGUUUUUUGAGACAGUUUCUCUGUGUAGUCUUGGCUGACUUGGAAUUCUCUAUGUGGACGAGGCUAACCUAGAACUCACAGAGAUCCGCCUGCCUCUGCCUCCCAAGUCUAACUUUAAAAACAUUUUGUUUUAUUACUUUAUUUUGUAUGGAUGGAUGUCUUGCCAGUAUGUAUGUGCCAGCAGUGCGUGGCUGGAGCCCCGACAGAUCAGAACAGGGCGUCGGAUUACCUUGAAACUGGAGUUACAGGAUAGUCUGAGCCACCGGCGUGGGUGCUGGGAAUUAACUUGGGUCUUCUGGAACCAUCUCUCCAGACCGUCUUUAAAAUUCACAAUCUUCGCAGUUCUAACCGUGUGAUAUUUAGUUACGCACUUUGGUGGGUUGAGGGUUUCAUUUGUUUCGUUUUGUUUUAAAUUUUUUUCUACCCUAGUGCUGUUGAUUAUGUCUGAUGAGUUGAGGCAUUGGCAGAGAGUAGGGGCAUUAAUGAGUGAAUCCCACGCGGGGUUGUGGUGGGGAUCAUUGCAGAGAAGUGGGAUCCGAUCACAUCGAUUUCAAGGAGAGUCUGCCAUUUGGGACUCUAGGAAUUUCUGACCUUGUGUUUAUUCAAAAAAUUUCUAAAGAGUAAAGUGUCAGAAUUUGCUAAUUAGAGAAGCCUUGGCUGUUGAGGGAAUCCGGUAGUGCCUUGCCUUUGGAGCUUUGCAUAUAAUGCACUAACAAGUAGCAGAGUAUGGUGUUGCUGUAAAGCAGAAAGACUGGAAGUUUACUCUUUUACAUAGGUUGAUGGAAACCUCCGAGGUGAAGGAGGAAUUAGUGAUGCUUGAAGAAUUGAUACGAACAAGUGGGGUAUACAGAUGACUGGAUCCCAUGGUGGCUGGAGAAUAUGUGACCCCCGAGCCACCAUACUCUGAGGAGGUUUUGCUGACUUGACCUGUGAUUGGCCAAACUUGGUGGGCCUAGAGACAAUGUAACUUAAAAUUGGAUUAAGAAAUAUUUUGUAGCCCGGCAUGGUGGCGUAAUCCCAGCACUCGGGAGGCAGUGGCAGGUGGAGUUCAAGGCCAGCCUGGUCUACAAAGUGAGUUCCAGGACAGCCAGGGCUAUACAAGAGAAACCCUGUCUCAGGAAAAAAAAAAAAGAAGAAGAAGAAGAAGAAGAAGAAGAAGAACAACCUGGAGUAGGUCAUUUAGUUAAAUCCUUGUCAGAGUUAUUUUUUGCUGUUUGGAAAACAAAAUAGAUGCAUAGACAAUGCCACACAUCUAUGAAGGGCCUGCAGACCCACUGAUCCAUUCAGGCAUUAAAGUAUAGUGCUUUUGGUGUUAAUAUUUGUCAUUAAGAACGUCUAACUGGCCAACAAGCCCCAGGGACCCUCCUGCCUCCGUUUUACCAACACUGGGAUUACAUUUGGGCACCAGAGCACUUGGCUUGUUUGCUUUUGCAGGUUCAAUGCCUGGGUCCCUACACUUGUGUGGCAAUGGCAAGCAAUGUACUGACUGAGCCAUCCUGUCUGUUGCCAACAGUCUUGUCUAGGAAAGAAACUCCAUCCCUCCCGUAGGAAAUUUAAACUGAGCAGUUCCUGUAAGUUGUUCUUCAGGAAAUCUAUUUUAACUCAAAUAAGAAGAGCUAGAACCAAAGAAGGCUUUGCUUCCUAAAAGGCUCUGAAAAUGGAGGUGCCAAAUUUAGCAGAUAAAAAGAAAGAUACCGGGGCUGGUGAGAUGGCUCAGUGGGUAAGAGCACCCGACUGCUCUUCCGAAGGUCAGGAGUUCAAAUCCCAGCAACCACAUGGUGGCUCACAACCAUCCGUAACGAGAUCUGAUUCCCUCUUCUGGAGUGUCUGAAGACAGCUACAGUGUACUUACAUAUAAUAAAUAAAUAAAUCUUUAAAAAAAAAAAAAAAAAAAAAAAAGAAAGAUACCUGACUGUGCACUUAGAUAUGAAUUUCAGACAGAUGGGAUUAACCUUUUAGCAAUAUGUAGGACAUAACUGAUAAAAGCACAAAUAUGCAGAUUUAGCUAAUAAUUCUGUAUCUGGCAACAACUGUUGAAAAUUCUCCUUUAACCAUGACUCCAAAGAGAUCCUUACUUU
rnacentral:lncRNA from 1 species